rnacentral:lncRNA from 1 species
GAAACAUUUUUUAAGACAUAAAGUAUGAUAAACUUUUUUCCUUAAUUCGCGACCUCCUUUUCGUAAACCAUUCGCCUUUUGACAAAUAUAUUAUCCAUAAAAAUAAGCACUCGUGUGGUCGAUAUCUCAUGUCUGUUCUUUACAAAUGGAUUCUUGUUAGGUUUUAGGAUGGCUAUCAAGCCUACCAUCGUCAAAGCGUGCGUGCGAUGGCGAAGGAUAAAGUGAGUUUCGAUCAUUGUUUUCUUCAUUAUUUUUGAAUUUUGAUUCGAUUAAUUUUUUAUGUUGGAUUGAGGUUCACGAAAGUGAUUUUGCAGGUAUGCGUUUUUCUUUCACUGUUGAGGCAGAUUACAAUUGUAUUCCAUAUUUAUAAAAUUCUAGCUAUGUAUAG